rnacentral:rRNA from 1 species
AGACCCGAAACCCGGUGAUCUAGCCAUGGGCAGGUUGAAGGUUGGGUAACACUAACUGGAGGACCGAACCGACUAAUGUUGAAAAAUUAGCGGAUGACUUGUGGCUGGGGGUGAAAGGCCAAUCAAACCGGGAGAUAGCUGGUUCUCCCCGAAAGCUAUUUAGGUAGCGCCUCGUGAAUUCAUCUCCGGGGGUAGAGCACUGUUUCGGCAAGGGGGUCAUCCCGACUUACCAACCCGAUGCAAACUGCGAAUACCGGAGAAUGUUAUCACGGGAGACACACGGCGGGUGCUAACGUCCGUCGUGAAGAGGGAAACAACCCAGACCGCCAGCUAAGGUCCCAAAGUCAUGGUUAAGUGGGAAACGAUGUGGGAAGGCCCAGACAGCCAGGAUGUUGGCUUAGAAGCAGCCAUCAUUUAAAGAAAGCGUAAUAGCUCACUGGUCGAGUCGGCCUGCGCGGAAGAUGUAACGGGGCUAAACCAUGCACCGAAGCUGCGGCAGCGACACUGUGUGUUGUUGGGUAGGGGAGCGUUCUGUAAGCCUGUGAAGGUGUGCUGUGAGGCAUGCUGGAGGUAUCAGAAGUGCGAAUGCUGACAUAAGUAACGAUAAAGCGGGUGAAAAGCCCGCUCGCCGGAAGACCAAGGGUUCCUGUCCAACGUUAAUCGGGGCAGGGUGAGUCGACCCCUAAGGCGAGGCCGAAAGGCGUAGUCGAUGGGAAACAGGUUAAUAUUCCUGUACUUGGUGUUACUGCGAAGGGGGGACGGAGAAGGCUAUGUUGGCCGGGCGACGGUUGUCCCGGUUUAAGCGUGUAGGCUGGUUUUCCAGGCAAAUCCGGAAAAUCAAGGCUGAGGCGUGAUGACGAGGCACUACGGUGCUGAAGCAACAAAUGCCCUGCUUCCAGGAAAAGCCUCUAAGCAUCAGGUAACAUCAAAUCGUACCCCAAACCGACACAGGUGGUCAGGUAGAGAAUACCAAGGCGCUUGAGAGAACUCGGGUGAAGGAACUAGGCAAAAUGGUGCCGUAACUUCGGGAGAAGGCACGCUGAUAUGUAGGUGAAGUCCCUCGCGGAUGGAGCUGAAAUCAGUCGAAGAUACCAGCUGGCUGCAACUGUUUAUUAAAAACACAGCACUGUGCAAACACGAAAGUGGACGUAUACGGUGUGACGCCUGCCCGGUGCCGGAAGGUUAAUUGAUGGGGUCAGCGCAAGCGAAGCUCUUGAUCGAAGCCCCGGUAAACGGCGGCCGUAACUAUAACGGUCCUAAGGUAGCGAAAUUCCUUGUCGGGUAAGUUCCGACCUGCACGAAUGGCGUAAUGAUGGCCAGGCUGUCUCCACCCGAGACUCAGUGAAAUUGAACUCGCUGUGAAGAUGCAGUGUACCCGCGGCAAGACGGAAAGACCCCGUGAACCUUUACUAUAGCUUGACACUGAACAUUGAGCCUUGAUGUGUAGGAUAGGUGGGAGGCUUUGAAGUGUGGACGCCAGUCUGCAUGGAGCCGACCUUGAAAUACCACCCUUUAAUGUUUGAUGUUCUAACGUGGACCCGUGAUCCGGGUUGCGGACAGUGUCUGGUGGGUAGUUUGACUGGGGCGGUCUCCUCCUAAAGAGUAACGGAGGAGCACGAAGGUUGGCUAAUCCUGGUCGGACAUCAGGAGGUUAGUGCAAUGGCAUAAGCCAGCUUGACUGCGAGCGUGACGGCGCGAGCAGGUGCGAAAGCA